AUUGAACGCUGGCGGCAGGCUUAACACAUGCAAGUCGAGCGAGCGGCGGACGGGUGAGUAAUUUCUGGGAAACUGCCUUAUGGAGGGGGAUCCCUACUGGAAACGGUAGCUAAUACCGCAUACCAUCAGAUGUGCCCAGAUGGGAUUAGCUAGUAGGUGGGGUAAUGGCUCACCUAGGCGACGAUCCCUAGCUGGUCUGAGAGGGUGACCAGCCACACUGGAACUGAGACACGGGCCAGACUCCUACGGGAGGCAGCAGUGGGGAAUAUUGCACAAUGGGCGCAAGCCGGAUGCAGCAAUGCCGCGUGUGUGAAGAAGGCCUUAGGGUUGUAAAGCACUUUCAGCGAGGAGGCGUUACUCGCAGAAGAAGCACCGGCUAACUCCGUGCCAGCAGCCGCGGUAAUAC
rnacentral:rRNA from 1 species